AUUGAACGCUGGCGGCAGGCUUAACACAUGCAAGUCGAGCGAGCGGCGGACGGGUGAGUAAUGUCUGGGAAACUGCCUGAUGGAGGGGGAUAACUACUGGAAACGGUAGCUAAUACCGCAUACCAUCAGAUGUGCCCAGAUGGGAUUAGCUGGUAGGUGGGGUAAUGGCUCACCUAGGCGACGUUCCCUAGCUGGUCGGAGAGGAUGACCAGCCACACGGGACCUGAGACACGGUCCAGACUCGUCAGGGAGGCAGCAGUGGGGAAUAUUACACAAUGGGCGCAAGUCUGAUGCAGCCAUGCCGCGUGAGUGAAGAAGGCCUUCGGGUUGUAAAGCACUUUCAGCGGGGAGGCGUUACUCGCAGAAGAAGCACCGGCUAACGCCGUGCCAGCCGCCGCGGUAAUUC
rnacentral:rRNA from 1 species